UAUGUUGGUCAGUACAUAAUUACUGAUGGAGAUGCAAGAAAGGCUGCAAUGGAUGCAGCUGGUAGAAUACGAUUGACAAUAGAAGCUAAACUUUCUCCUGGUCCUCCAAUGUUAAAUCUUCGUAGGCAUGGUGUUAUUGGACGCUGGCAUGGUCUUGUGGAUAGCAUUGCAAGUGGCAAUUUCCUUGGUGCUAAGAGAAGAGGGGUGGUUAAUGGUAUUGACUACAGAUUCACCGGGGAAGUUACGAAAAUAGACGUUUCACGGAUAAGAGAAAGGCUUGAUAGUGAUAGCAUAGUUGUUAUCAGCAACAUGGGCUUCAGUUCAUCAGGAGAUGUGUUAAAUUGCAACACCUACGAGGUUGCUACUGCAUGUGCUUUAGCCUUGGAGGCAGAUAAACUUAUCUGCGUUGUAGAUGGUCAGGUAUUUGAUGAGCAUGGACGGGCCAUUCAAUACAUGUCUAUUGAGGAGGCAGAUUUGUUGAUUAGAAAGCGUGAUAGGCAAAGUGAUAUUGCUGUAAGUUAUGUCAAGGUUGUGGAUGAGGAAGGCAUCAAUUCUUUGCAUAAAGGGGACAACAGACCAUCAUUGAGUCCCAAGGCUUACAUAAAUGGGUAUGCUGCUUCUUUUCGAAACGGAUUGGGUUUUAACAAUGGAAAUGGUAUUUAUUCUGGCGAGCAAGGGUUUGCUAUUGGUGGCGAAGAGCGGUUAAGCAGAUCAAAUGCUGAUCCUUUUUAAAACGGGUUGGGUUUUAACAAUGGAAAUGGUAUUUACUCUGGUGAGCAAGGGUUCGCUAUUGGUGGUGAAGAGAGGUUAAGCAGAUCAAAUGGCUAUCUUUCUAAGUUGGUCGCGGCAACA